rnacentral:tRNA from 1 species
CGAGCUGUACGCGGCGGGCGUGGGCGUCGCCCGCGGCUACGCGGGCAACGCCGCGGGCACCGCCGACCGGUUCGUGCCCGACCCGCACGGCC